GGAACGUUUAAACCAGGCAUUCACAAUAUAAUAAUGAUUGAAAUCUACAUUGAAAGGCACUUAAAUGAAAUGAAUAUGCAAAUGGCCAUCAAAGCGAAUUCAGAUAGAAGUUCCUGCCUUGUGCUAGACAUCUAAGCAGUUGCGGAUUUUGAAAGACAAAUCACAACUGCCCUAGAAACACCCUGAAAAAUGAAUUCAGAUAUGGAUGCUCUUCAGGAGCAUAAAGUACAAGAAAUACACGCUCCAAGGCAACCGCCUAGUUUUCAGCCUUCUUACCAGUAUCCUCCUCGGCUGAAGCAUGAAUUUCCUCAUCUUUAUCUUCAACCUUGGGAUCCUGGACGUCUUUAGCAUCUGCUAGGCUAUCCUGCAGCCCUAAAUUCUUCAGGCUAGUAGUAACAUCUUCUUGUUGCUGCUGGAGUGUGUUCCUAAGUUCUUGAAAUUCUGAUCGAAGUUGCUCCACCUCAACAUUCAAUGAUUUCUUCAGUUCUGACAACUCAUCACGAUAGAUUUUCGCUUGAGUGUCAAGCUUCGAAGUCCAAUUUUGCAUAUCCUGCUUUAAGCCUUGAAUUCUACUGAGAAGCUCUGUUCUUGAUUCAUUUAAUUCCGCGAUCUUCGAACCAAUCGGAGUAAUAUUCUCCUUCUUAGGAGCGAGAGGAGCAGGAGAAGGUAGAGGAGUGGAGGAAUCGGGAUUGGCCAUUUUUCGGAUCGAUUAAAUCGGGUUUUCGAUGGAUUUAAUGAAGAGGUGGUUUUGAAGCUUAAAACUUUAUUAAAAAAAGGAGAUUUGACAAACGUUGUCUAAACUUUAAGAAUGAAUAUAUGGAGGUGUAGCUGAGCAAACAAACUCAAGAACUCAAAUUUGAAUUUUGGGUUUAAGGAUGCGUUUGGGCGGGC
rnacentral:misc_RNA from 1 species